rnacentral:rRNA from 1 species
AUAAUAAUUAGUCUUUUAAUUGGAGGCUGGAAUGAAAGAUUGGACGAGAUAAAUGCUGUCUCAAUUAAAUUAUAAUUUAAUUUAAUUUUUAAGUAAAAAAGCUUAAAUAUAAUUAAAGGACGAGAAGACCCCAUAGAGUUUUAUUUUAGAUUAUUAUUUUUUAUAAAAUUGAGUUAAAUUAUGGUUUAAAAUUUUGUUGGGGUGAUAGAAAAAUUUAAUAAACUUUUUUAAAAUUUAAACAAAGAUUAUUGGAAUUUUGAUCCUAAAUUUUAGAUUAUUAGAUUAAGUUACCUUGGGGAUAACAGCGUUAUUUUUUUUAGAAGUUCAUAUUAAUAAAAAAGAUUGC